GGGAAGAAAAGGCUGUUGCUAAUAUCGACAGCUGAUGACGGUACCUGAAGAAUAAGCACCGGCUAACUACGUGCCAGCAGCCGCGGUAAUACGUAGGGUGCGAGCGUUAAUCGGAAUUACUGGGCGUAAAGCGAGCGCAGACGGUUACUUAAGCAGGAUGUGAAAUCCCCGGGCUCAACCUGGGAACUGCAUUUCGAACUGGCAAACUAGAGUAUGAUAGAGGGUGGUAGAAUUUCAGGUGUAGCGGUGAAAUGCGUAGAUAUCUGGAGGAACAUCAGUGGCGAAGGCGACUGCCUGGACUGAUACUGACACUGAGGUGCGAAAGCGUGGGGAGC
rnacentral:rRNA from 1 species